UAGGGGCGUACACACGUCAUACAAUGGCCGGUACAGAGGGCUGCCAACCCGCGAGGGGGAGCCAAUCCCAGAAAACCGGUCGUAGUCCGGAUCGUAGUCUGCAACUCGACUGCGUGAAGUCGGAAUCGCUAGUAAUCGCGGAUCAGCUUGCCGCGGUGAAUACGUUCCCGGGUCUU
rnacentral:rRNA from 1 species